UCUACGGGGAAAAUUAAUUGUUUCUAUUUAUUCUAUCCUAGUUACAAUAAUCCUUAACUUUAAGUAUUGUACCUCCCUUUUUCUUAGUACUUAGAGUAGAAAACCAGAGAAGCAAAUCCAUUUAUUUUACUAGAAAGAAAAUUCUUACUUGUUUUAUCUAGAACCAUGAAAAAGAAGUGGUAUCACAAAUCUGCUUAGUUUUUUUGGACUUGAAGCGUAGAGUCGAAGGCUUUUGAGAUUCCACAAUGCUUGGGAGAAAAUGUGGAUGUCUCCAGGGAGGCCAUACCUAAUGAGGAGCUCCCAACAAAUGGCAACUGAUGUUACCUACAACCGAAUACGUCAAGAAGGAGCUUUGCCCAUGCGUUCUGCCACCUUCUGCCAGGAAUUACACCUGUCCCAUCCCGUCGUCUCCUGAAUGUCCAGAGACAGGGGUCUCCCCGUGUUGUCCAGAACGGUCUUGAACUCCUGGUCUUCAAGCAAUCUUCCUGCCUUGGUCUCUCAAAGUGCUGGGAUUACAAGUGUGAGCCACCAUACCCGGUCAUAGCGCUCUUAUAAAAUGCAUCAUCACAUUUAUUUUAUAAAUUCAGAAACAAAAGUCUGUAUAGAGAAGUUUUGAAGUUACUAGGGACCUGAAAAUCAUACUGAAGAUGUCUGCAACUAAAAACUCGAAGAGUUCCGAGGCUAGAGGGGUCAGGAGAUGAAUAAAAACGUUAGCCCCAGCUGAUCACAAUGAGGUUAAUCACAAUACUAAUUAAAAAUACUACAGAUCCUAGGACAAUGGUCAGAAGAGUGACUAUACUUUCCUGUUUGCCCUUGGAAAAUCGAGGGCUGACUUUUCUACGUGCUCAGAUAACCUAAAUUGAUAGAGAGAAAGCUAGCAGAGGAUAAGAUAAACUAGUUAACUGUAAAUAAGAUUUUGCUGUUGGAGAAUCUUCUUGUUGCUCUGGUUUUAGAUAGCGGAGGAAGCCAAAAAAUAUCUGCUUUAAGUUACCAGGAGUUGAAGUUCAUCCCUGCUGAAGUUAACAGGUUGCUUCCCUUUUUCUGGUGUAUUCUUACUUUACUGGCAAAGAGAAAAUAAAUUAAUACCUUAUUGU
rnacentral:lncRNA from 1 species